UGCGAAUGGCUCAUUAAAUCAGUUAUCGUUUAUUUGAUAGUACCUUACUACAUGGAUAACCGUGGUAAUUCUAGAGCUAAUACAUGCUAAAAAUCCCGACUUCGGAAGGGAUGUAUUUAUUAGAUUAAAAACCAAUGCCCUUCGGGGCUCUCUGGUGAUUCAUAAUAACUUCUCGAAUCGCACGGCCUUGCGCCGGCGAUGGUUCAUUCAAAUUUCUGCCCUAUCAACUUUCGACGGCUGGGUCUUGGCCAGCCGUGGUGACAACGGGUAACGGAGGGUUAGGGCUCGACCCCGGAGAAGGAGCCUGAGAAACGGCUACUACAUCCAAGGAAGGCAGCAGGCGCGCAAAUUACCCAAUCCCGACACGGGGAGGUAGUGACAAUAAAUACUGAUACAGGGCUCUUUCGGGUCUUGUAAUUGGAAUGAGUACAAUUUAAAUCCCUUAACGAGGAACAAUUGGAGGGCAAGUCUGGUGCCAGCAGCCGCGGUAAUUCCAGCUCCAAUAGCGUAUAUUAAAGUUGUUGAGGUUAAAAAGCUCGUAGUUGAACCUUGGGCCUAGCCGGCCGGUCCGCCUCACCGCGUGCACUGGCUCGGCUGGGUCUUUCCUUCUGGAGAACCGCAUGCCCUUCACUGGGUGUGCCGGGGAACCAGGACUUUUACUCUGAACAAAUUAGAUCGCUUAAAGAAGGCCUAUGCUCGAAUACAUUAGCAUGGAAUAAUAGAAUAGGACGUGUGGUUCUAUUUUGUUGGUUUCUAGGACCGCCGUAAUGAUUAAUAGGGACAGUCGGGGGCAUCAGUAUUCAAUUGUCAGAGGUGAAAUUCUUGGAUUUAUUGAAGACUAACUACUGCGAAAGCAUUUGCCAAGGAUGUUUUCAUUAAUCAGGAACGAAAGUUAGGGGAUCGAAGACGAUCAGAUACCGUCGUAGUCUU
rnacentral:rRNA from 1 species